GAUGAAGAACGUAGCGAAAUGCGAUAAGGAAUGUGAAUUGCAGAAUUCAGUGAAUCAUCGAAUCUUUGAACGCACAUUGCGCCCGUCAGUAUUCUGGCGGGCAUGCCUGUUCGAGCGUCAUUACGCCCCUCAAGUCCCCUGUGGACUUGGUGUUGGGGAUCGGCGAGGCUGGUUUUCCAGCACAGCCGUCCCUUAAAUUAAUUGGCGGUCUCGCCGUGGCCCUCCUCUGCGCAGUAGUAAAACACUCGCAACAGGAGCCCGGCGCGGUCCACUGCCGUAAAACCCCCCAACUUUUUAUAGUUGACCUCGAAUCAGGUAGGACUACCCGCUGAACUUAAGCAUAUCAAUAAGCGGAGGA
rnacentral:misc_RNA from 1 species